rnacentral:rRNA from 1 species
AAUGAACGCUGGCGGCAUGCCUAACACAUGCAGGUCGAACGAAGGCUUCGGCCUUAGUGGCGCACGGGUGCGUAACGCGUGGGAAUCUGCCCUUGGGUUCGGAAUAACAGUUAGAAAUGACUGCUAAUACCGGAUGAUGUCGUAAGACCAAAGAUUUAUCGCCCGAGGAUGAGCCCGCGUAGGAUUAGCUAGUUGGUGGGGUAAAGGCCUACCAAGGCGACGAUCCUUAGCUGGUCUGAGAGGAUGAUCAGCCACACUGGGACUGAGACACGGCCCAGACUCCUACGGGCGGCAGCAGUGGGUGAUAUUGGACAAUGGGCGAAAGCCUGAUCCAGCACUGCCGCGUGAGUGAUGAAGGCCUUAGGGUUGUAAAGCUCUUUUACCCGGGAUGAUAAUGACAGUACCGGGAGAAUAAGCUCCGGCUAACUUCGUG